ACUUCUAAAGUUGGCGGUGUUUCGUACCGGCCGCGGGAUUUCGCGGACUGGGGCGCUGAGGUUCUUUGAGCGGCGUGUGGACCUGAAUUCCCUGGAAACAGGCUGGGGCCGCGAGGGGCCUCCGCUCCGGGCGGGGUCCCCAGAUAGCCCCGCCUCGAAUAAAAAUGACGAGCACGGGUCCUCUCUCGGGCCCGCAGUGGGUGGACUGCGUCGCAGACCCGUAGUGGAGGCGCCCAGCUCGCCGGGGAGAUUCGAGUGGAAACCCUCACGGCCGCCGGUGGUGGGCCCCGGCGCGGCGCUGGGCUCCGGCGGGUCUGCGCUGGGGAGGGCCAGGGCCCCUGAAGCCGGCGUCCCUCUUAGGGGACGCGCCUGGGUGUGUCUUCACCGUUUGCCUGCCUGGGCGACAGAGACUCCAUCUCAAAAAUAAACAGAAAACCAGAGCAUCCUUUUAUCAAGAAGUCGGUGGAUUGCAGUAUUUCAAGGGUGAACAAGUAAAUGCAGCCUUCUCCAAGAGUGAAUCUCAUUCUGGCACCAGAAUUUAUCCAUGACAGAUAAUUGACCUUCUGAUAAACAUUCCUUGUAAGGAUGCUGGUGUUACCCAAAAUAUUAAAUAUUUAUAAAGCUGAAUAAAAUGUAAGUUCUGAUACCUUCCUCACUCUACAAAGGAUCAUUUCGUGCCUCACACUGUUUGC
rnacentral:lncRNA from 1 species